CAAGUCCCUAGUGGUGUGCUCCAUGGGUCAAUACUGGGAUCAACACUGUUCAAAAUCUGCAUUAAUGACCUGGAGACUGGGACAGAGUGCAUCCUCAGCAAGUCCACAGAUGGUAUGAACCCAGGAGGAGGUUGUACUGCCUUUCAGAGGAGCCUUAACAAGAUGGACAAAUGAACUGAUAUGAAUCAUGUUUACCAUGGGAACCUGUGAAGUCCUGCAUCCGGAGAAUAAACCCAUGUACCUGUACAUGCUGGGGGAUAACCAGCUGGAAAGUAGUUGCUGAGAUGGACCUGGUGGUCUGUCCGUGCAGGGUUGCAGCAAAGAAGGACAAGAGUAUCCUGGGCUAUGCAAGAAAAAGAUUUGCCAGAAAGUUGAGAAAGAUGAUCCCUUCCCUCUGAGCAGCAGUGGGGAGGCCACAUCUGGAGUGCUGGGUCCAGUCCUGGGCUCCCCAGUGCAGGUGCGAUAUGUAGGUGUGAGAGAGAGAUAAAUAAGGGGUUGGAGUAUCUUUUGUAUGAGAAAAGUGAGAAAGAGCUGGGACUGUGCAGCCUGGAGAAGAGGAGGUUAUGGGGAUAUUUUAUCAGUUCCUAUUGAAAUUCCCACUUUGAAAGGACAGUGCAAAGAGGAUGGAGCACCUCUUUUCAGUGGCGCCCAGUGACUGGACAAGAGGCAAUGGGAACAAACUGGAAAAUCUGUCACUUUAAUAUACCAAGUACUAGAACGAUUAAUUCAUUGGACAAGUGGCUGCCUUUUUCUCCAUUUUUCCUUCAAUAAAUCUUACCUUUUUUCCCCUUAGUCAAAAUCCUUCUUAGUAAUCUGACAAAUGUGUGGUACAGAACUAUGGAUUCAUACUUACACUAAGUUGCUCAGUACUCUGGAGGCAAUGCAGUUACACCCAGCAUAUGCAUGCAUUCAAGCAUUGCUAUUUAGAAGAAACCAGCUCUCAUUUCUCCAUGAAAAGAUGAGUUUCCACUGAAUUCAAAAAGACCCCGCAGGAAAACCUGGAUACAGAUCUACUCAAGUCUGGAACCACAUCUGAUUUAUGGAGCACAGUAUUGCGUCUCAUACCACCUACUACAGCAACAAGCCUUGUACAUCAUUACUAGUGAAAUACAAUUCCUUUCAACUAAAAAGUGUCUUCAGGGUAGCACAUGUUGACCAUUCUUAUUGUUUAUUCAAUUUGUCCCUUCUUAUAUUCUCACCUCUACUACCUGCAUUUUCUUUCUAUCCCAGAUCUGAAUCUCUUUUUCUGUAUGUCAGCAAAAGCAAUGGUGCCUGUCUCACUCCAGCCUAAUUAUGGCCUUGAUUGUCAGUUAUAAUCUCAACUCCAAUCAAAUUGUAUUCUCCAAGAGAAAACAAGCCCUGAUUUUCUAUAAUGCAGCUAUUGAUACGUGCAGGCUACCUCAUCCUGUGGACUUGUGAAGUCCUGUCAUGCCAGUAACUUCCUGCAUUUAAGGGGUACUCUGAAAGUAAUCAGCAGCAGAUGUUGGUAGUAUGGCAGUAGAGACUGAACCUUCUUGUAAAUAUUCCAUUUCAUUUUGUUUCUAUGUGACAGAUGGCAGCAGAGGGGCAGUCCAAUAAAAUGAUGUCUGACAGGGAACUGUAUGAAGCAAAGGUGUGGAACUGAAUUCCUCCAUUUGGAAAAAAUGACACCCACUGGCAUUCAUCAGUGCUUACUGAACAUUUAUGGAGACCAAACAGUAAAUAUGAUCACAGUGAGGCAACGGGUGGUGAUCUUCAGCAGCUGCAAGAAUGACAUUGGAUCACCUCUGUUGGUGCAGAUUUUUCUGAGCGUGGCACACAGGCUCUUGUUCAAUGAUGGCAGAAGUAGUGCUUUGUAGCUGAGUAUUUGCUCUAUUGAAUAGUUAUAUUGUGCUUUAUAUAUGUUGUAGUUUCCAGUUUCCAUGGAAAUAAAUAGAAG
ensembl:lncRNA